rnacentral:rRNA from 1 species
AUUGAACGCUGGCGGCAUGCUUUACACAUGCAAGUCGGACGGCAGCGGGGUAGUGCUUGCACUACUGCCGGCGAGUGGCGAACGGGUGAGUAAUAUAUUGGAACGUACCGAGUAAUGGGGGAUAACCAAUCGAAAGAUUGGCUAAUACCGCAUACGCUCUGAGGAGGAAAGCAGGGGACCUUCGGGCCUUGCGUUAUUCGAGCGGCCAAUAUCUGAUUAGCUAGUUGGUGGGGUAAGGGCCUACCAAGGCGACGAUCAGUAGCGGGUCUGAGAGGAUGAUCCGCCACACUGGGACUGAGACACGGCCCAGACUCCUACGGGAGGCAGCAGUGGGGAAUUUUGGACAAUGGGCGCAAGCCUGAUCCAGCCAUGCCGCGUGUCUGAAGAAGGUCUUCGGGUUGUAAAGGACUUUUGUUAGGGAAGAAAAAGGAGCGGUUAAUACCCGUUUCUGCUGACGGUACCUAAAGAAUAAGCACCGGCUAACUACGUG